rnacentral:lncRNA from 1 species
ACUAAGGUCCUAAGAAAGGCUUGGGGGUGCUUAUAAGCCCCUGGAUCCCAUAAAGUCCCAGGCCCCAAGCCAACACGACUGAAUUGCUGCUCUAAUCUUCUAAAUGGGCCACAGGCUGCCAGUUUGAGGCUUCUAUCCCCCUUAAAAGCUGUCUUUGAUUUUUUUUUUAAUUGUGGUAAAAUAUACAGAUGGACCCUGACUUACAUUCAAUUUAUGACACUUCGACUUUAUGAUGAUGCAAAGUGAUACACAUUCAGAAGAAGCUGCACUUUGAAUUGUUUCUUUCAGUACAGUAUUCAAGAAAUUACAUGAGAUAUUCAACACUUCCUUAUAAAAUAGGCUUUGUGUUAAAUGAUUUUGCACAACUGUAGGCUAGUGUUAGUGUUCUGAGCACGUUUGAGGUGGGUGAGGCUGAGCUACAAUGUUAGGGACGUUAGGUGUAAUCAAUGCAUUUUUUACUUACGGUAUAUCUGAUUUACAGUUUAUUAAGACAUAACCCCAUGUGAAGCUGAGGAGCAUCUGUACAUAAGAUCUACCAUUUCAACCAUUUAAAAAUAUUUUUAUUUUUUAAACUGUGGCAAAAUAUACAUAUUAUUUUAGCCAUUUUAAGUGUACAGUUGAGUAGCAUUAAGUACACUGACACUGUUGUACAACCAUCACCACCAUCCAUCUUCAGAAUGACCCCAUCAUCCCCGGCCAAAACUCUGCAGCCAUUAAACAGCAACUCCCCCUUCCCUCUUCCCUCCAGGCCCUGGCAACCCACAUUCUACUUUCCAACUCUGUGAAUUCGACUACCCUAUCCCCCUUCCCUCCUCCCACCAGGCCCUGGCAACCCACAUUCUACUUUCUGUCUCUAUGAAUCUGACUACUCUAGGCACCUCAUCUAAGUGGAAUCAUACAGCAUUUGUCCUUUUGCAACUGGCUUAUUUCACUUAGCAUAAUAUCCUUCA